UACGUAGGUGGCAAGCGUUGUCCGGAAUUAUUGGGCGUAAAGCGCGCGCAGGCGGUCCUUUAAGUCUGAUGUGAAAGCCCACGGCUCAACCGUGGAGGGUCAUUGGAAACUGGGGGACUUGAGUACAGAAGAGGAAAGCGGAAUUCCACGUGUAGCGGUGAAAUGCGUAGAGAUGUGGAGGAACACCAGUGGCGAAAGGCGGCUUUCUGGUCUGUAACUGACGCUGAGGCGCGAAAGCGUGGGGAGCAAACAGGA
rnacentral:rRNA from 1 species